CAAUAAGCGGAGGAAAAGAAACCAACAGGGAUUGCCCUAGUAACGGCGAGUGAAGCGGCAACAGCUCAAAUUUGAAAUCUGGCUCUCGGGCCCGAGUUGUAAUUUGUAGAGGAUACUUUUGAUGCGGUGCCUUCCGAGUUCCCUGGAACGGGACGCCAUAGAGGGUGAGAGCCCCGUCUGGUUGGAUGCCAAAUCUCUGUAAAGUUCCUUCGACGAGUCGAGUAGUUUGGGAAUGCUGCUCUAAAUGGGAGGUAUAUGUCUUCUAAAGCUAAAUACCGGCCAGAGACCGAUAGCGCACAAGUAGAGUGAUCGAAAGA
rnacentral:rRNA from 1 species